UGCGCUCUCGUCUUGAAAAGCGAAAACAAAAACAAAACAAAAUCCAGGCAGGCAGGUACUCUUUCAUUUAAUUUAUGAAGUUCUUUGUUCGGUAAGAAAAUCUAAAAUCAAAGCAGCAAGUUGUAAUACACGUAUGAUAUACAGGGCGAUGAAUCCUCGAACAGACAAGAUAGUGAGGAGGACAACAAUGGUAGCCACUGCUGUUGCUUCUUAUUUCCUCUUAACUGCUGACUAUGGUCCUCAACCCAAUGCUGUUGAACCCAUCAAAAGGGCCAUAUUAUCAGCACAAAGUUCUGUGAAAGAGUUCAUCUUUGGAUCAGGAAAAGAGCCCUGAGUUAGUCAAAUGGAGAAGGUGAGCUCUAGCAGUGCUAAAGAGCAUUAACAAGGAUACAGGGACACAAUUUUGCAUGGCACCAUGAUGGUUCUAGGCUAAGUUUCUUAUGGCCAUUGUCAAAUAGAGGUAUCAUGAGACCAAGCUCCUUUUUAGCUUUGCUAGAAACUUUCUUUAUAUCUGUACAGUUUUUGCCAAACUCAGUACUUAGGAUGCUUUCUGUAGCCACAUAAUUUAAGUGGACGCUGAUGUCCAUCUUUUGCCUUUUCACUCUUUCUUAAGACACGCUAUUCUCCCUGCUUGGAUGGUUGAAAUUUAGAUUUGGAAUAUCAUUGUGGCUGACUACGUAAAAGUGGCCAAAAGUUUUUGGAU